rnacentral:rRNA from 1 species
GAUGAACGCUGGCGGUGUGCCUAAUACAUGCAAGUCGUACGCAUUCUCGUUUCUGAUUGACGGUGCUUGCACCUAAUUGACGAGACAUUGGAAUGAGUGGCGGACGGGUGAGUAACACGUGGGUAACCUGCCCAGAAGUGGGGGAGAACCUUUGGAAACAGAUGCUAAUACCGCAUAAAAGUCAAAACCACAUGGUGUUGAUUUUAAAGAUGGCCUUUGUGCUAUCACUUCUGGAUGGACCCGCGGCGUAUUAGCUAGUUGGUAAGGUAACGGCUUACCAAGGCAAUGAUACGUAGCCGAACUGAGAGGUUGAUCGGCCACAAUGGGACUGAGACACGGCCCAUACUCCUACGGGAGGCAGCAGUAGGGAAUCUUCCACAAUGGGCGCAAGCCUGAUGGAGCAACACCGCGUGAGUGAAGAAGGGUUUCGGCUCGUAAAACUCUGUUGUUAAAGAAGAACGUAUCUAAGAGUAACUGCUUAGGUAGUGACGGUAUUUAACCAGAAAGCCACGGCUAACUACGUGCCAGCCGCCGCGGUAA